rnacentral:lncRNA from 1 species
UUUAAACACAUUUUUAAUUGUUAUUAAUGUAAUAUGUGCAUGGGAAUGGCUAUUAGAAAUACCAUUAGAAAUGUUAACGAAGAUGAAAUAUACAUUUUUCGAAUUAUUUUAUAAUACUACUAUCAAAAUAAUAAAAUUUAUUAAAAAACAAAAUAGUUUCUAUUUUUUAUUAGAAAUUUUAAAAUUUGUAUAUAUACAAUUUGUUAGUCUACCCUUUAACCCAAUACAUAUAUAUACUUCAUUUAAAUUUCACAAUUUCCAUGACUUUCUAAUUACGGACAAUUAUAAUAAUAUACUAAAAGAUGUACAAGAUGAUUUUUUUAGUACUGACAAUUUGGACUUAAAUUCUGUAACCCCUGUAAAAUAUGUUAACAAUAGUAUUACAGAGGAAAUAUAUAAACGUGAAAGUGUAGCAAAGUUUGAAAAAAAAAUAAAGUAUAGUGAUAUCGAUGGAGACCUAAGUGAGAAUGUUAAUGACUACAAUUACAAACAUAGCGACGAACUUAAUAUACCAAAUUUUAAUAAAAGGAAAAAAAGAAUAAGCAUGGGCGGACUAAUACCUGUAUUUUUAAAUAAUGAAAACAUUAAAAAAAGAAAAACAAACUUUGAUUAUAUGUCUGUAACUAGUAUAGAAGAAAAUGAACAGAAUAUGAUACCCACUAAUGUAAGUACAAAAAGAAAAAGUUUAUUAUUUUAUGAUAAUAACAUGUUAAAUAGUAUAAACAAAAACUUAAAUGUUGAAUAUGAUAAACAGGUAGAUGAAAUGACAAAUUGUACUCCUAAUUUAUGUGAACCCAAAAGGAAAACUGUUAAAACAUAUAAUCAUAAUGACGAUGAUAGUUAUGAAAUUUACAAUGAAGACGAAGUUAUGAAUAAAACGCCGAAACCUAAUUACAACAAAAGUGACAAUAUAACAUCCAGAUAUAACUACAACAACGUAACAAAUCCGAACGAACAAUUUCGAAAAACUUAUUUAAGUAAUUAUUAUAUUCCACAUCUUGAUCUAUUAUUUAUCAUUAUAGACUUGGAAGUGAUGUAUCAUUUCAAAAAAAAAAAUUAUAAAAAAAUUAUAAUAACAGUUAAUAACGUAUUAAAUAAUAUCAUGAAAAAUUGUGAUUAUAACACAAAAGAAUACUUACGUUCUUCUAUUUCGUAUAUAUACAAUUCAUAUCAACAGGCAAAUCUAUGUAGUAGUAAAAUAAAUGUACAAAGUUGUACAAUUAUUAGACAUAUAUUUAAUUUGUACAUAAAAUCUAAAGUGUUAUACCUAAACAAAAAAAUAAAAAAUAAAAUAUCAUACUAUAAAAAAAAAUAUACCGACAAAGAAUAUUCGUAUGAUUCUAGUUCUUUAAAAAUUAUUCAUAAAGAAAUUUACAAUACUUUUUUUGAUACUGACGGAUGGAAAUACAUUUUUUAUUUUGAUUAUGCUGUGCGGGACAGUAGCAGUUGUGGCAGCAGAUGUGGUAGCAGUUGUAGUAGAAGUGGUAGCAGUUGUAGUAGAAGUGGUAGCAGUUGUAGUAGAAGUGGUAGCAAUCGUAACAGAAGUGGCAGCAAUCGUAGCAGAAGUGGUAGCAAUCGUAACAGAAGUGGCAGCAAUCGUAUCAGAAGUGGCAGCAAUCGUAACAGAAGUGACAGCACUUGUAGCAGAAGUGACAGCGACACCGAAAAGAGGAAAAACUCCGAAACAAAAAUAAAAAUAAUUAACAGUUUACUGAUUACCCACAUUAACACAUUACUUUUUUUAUCAUUUUAUGAAUAUUUAUCAAGAUAUGUUACGAAAAAUUUUAUUUAUUUCUUUAAGUUUUUAUUCUUUUUUUUUAACAAACUGUGUGUUGAUAUAUUGAAAUUAGUAAAGAAAUAUAACAAUCUUGAAUUUUAUAACAUUCUUCACACUGCAAGUAAUGUUUCUAAUUUUAAUCAGUUAGAAAAAGGCAUAAUUGAGAAAUUAAAACUGUUUAUUAAUAACAAUGACACAACAAGUGUUCCGUUAUGUGAUCAAAAUGCAAAUCAAUGCACUCCACAUAAGUCAAACAUAAUAAAAAACAAAACGCAUACAAAAACAAUAACAAAAAUUAACCUAGAUAUCGACGAAUUGUUAAUUACGUAUAUUCAAAUAAACUUUGUUUUUUGUAAAUGCUGUUUUUUUUUUAUUUUUUUUAAAAAUGUAUGUACACAAAAAUAUGAAAAUAUUUUAAGAGAGAAUUUUAAUACAUUAUUUUAUGAAAAAUUUAAAAAAAAUAGAAAUAUUAUUGAUUCUUUUGAAUUUAAAGUUGGUGAUACGUUAAGUACGCAGGUUGCUCAUGGAAAAGAUGAGGACCAUGUAGGUCGCAGUAUAGGUCGCGGUGUAGGUCGCGGUGUAGGUCGCGAUGUAGGUUGCAAUGUACGUCACGAUGUAGGUCGCGAUGUGAGUCGAAGUACAAGCUCAAGUACAGGGUAUGGCAUAAGCCCAAAUGUAACAAAAAAAGUAAACGUUGCGGAAGAAUUAAAAAGAAUAGAGGACAAACAAUCUGAUAAAUAUAGUAAUGAUUCUGAUGUCAGUUCAAAAGAAUCUGAAUCUAGUUUUACCCUAAUUGAAUACACAAAUUUUACAAAUGAUUUUGAUUCUGCUUUUUUAGAGUUUGUUAUAAAAUUAUUUGAUACUAUGAAUAUAGAAAAUUAUUAUAAACAGGUUCUUAGAAAUUGCUACUAUAUAAUAAAAAUAGAAACUUUAUAUAGUUAUAUUUAUAAUAAUGUAGAAAUGCUAAAUCGGUUUUCUUUUAUGUAUAAUUUAUACUUGUUAUAUAAGUUAUACUAUCAUUGUUUUUUAUGGUCUAAAAGGGAAUGUAUUGGUAAGAAAGGGAAAGGGAAAGGGAAAGCAGAUGAUAAAGCAGAUGAUAAAGCAGAUGGUAAAGCAGAUGGUAAAGCAGAUGGUAAAGCAGAUGGUAAAGCAGAUGGUAAAGCAGAUGGUAAAGCAGAUGAUAAAGCAGAUGGUAAAGCAGAUGGGGAUGGGGAAUUAUGCACAGGAGGGUAUCAGGCCAACAUACCGUUACACAAGUUAUCAGGUACCAUUAACACAAAUAUAGACAUAUUUUCCAUUUUUAACAUGAACAACAUUUUAAAAGAAAGAUUUUGCAACAAAUAUGUACAAUUUAUUACCAAUAAUAUAGAACACAAUCCACAAUCUGAACGGACAAGUGUCAAUCGACAAGAUUUAACAGGAGUCAAUCAUGAUACUUGGGAUGAUGGUGUUGUAUUUUUCAACAAAAGCAAUUUUGAAUGUAAUAAUACUAUCGGAAGUAGCACCGACAGUAGUGAAAACGACAUAAACGUGAAGAAAAAUAACAAAAUGGCGAGUGGAGACGGAUAUUUCAUAUGUAAUAUAUAUAACUUCCAAUUAAAACUGUUCCAUCCUUUAACUAUGGAAAACAACAACUUAGAUAAUUUAAAUUAUAAUCAAAGCGCUCAAGAUAUUUAUAACAGUUUAUUAAUUAUUAAUAAAAAUUACCUAAUAAAACUAAAAAAAAAAUAUAUAAAAAUUAAUAAAUAUAUACAUAAAUAUAUGUUAAAUCUAUACUAUAUUAUUAUGUACUUUUAUUUAGACAAAAAAUAUAAUAUAAAAAAAAAAAAUUUAUCUUUUUAUAAUAUUCUAUAUACUUUUCAAUUACAUUUUUUUAUAUCUGAUAUGAAAGGUAAUGAAGCGGUUGUACCUAAUACAGAAUGUGAAAACUUCAGUCACUUUGACCAUACGAAACAUCUCGCACAAAAGGGAUAUCCAUCUACAUUUAACCUUACCCAUUCCGACUCAUACGUUUGUAGUAAAAAUUACCAAACCAAAGCAAAUUUUAAUACUUAUAGUGCACAAAACGCGUGCUCUAACAUUCCCUACAAAUUAUAUACCGAGGAAGAGCUAAAAAAUAAUAUAUAUUUAAUUUUUGAAAUAUUUAAUAAUAUGUAUGACAUGUGUCAUGGUAAUAUUUUUAAUGAUGUUAAUUUUGGUAAUAAUUUAGUUAUACAGAUUAAUAUAAAAUUAAUUGUUUUUUUAUGUGAAAUAUACAAAGUAGCAUAUAUGUAUAAAUUAUACCACUAUUGUGUCGACAUCUUAAUGUUAUGCAUUGUUUUUACUUCCAGGUUUUGGUUAGUAUAUAUAUUUAGUGAAAAACAUGAUACUAUUUAUGAUGCUAGUAGCAUUGGUAGCAGUAGCAACGACAAAAGAUACACAUACAAAAAAAAAGUAAAUAAAAAUAUUGAAAACCGUUCAGAUAAAUCAAAAAGGUACACAAGAAAAUACAUCUUAGAUAUGGUUUAUACAAAAAUAACAACAGGUAUUGAUGAUAAUGUGACAAACUCCACCGCCAACACAAACCCCAUUACUAACCCAUGUGAUACUAACACCGCCAACCAAAACGAGAAGAAACAAAUUUAUAACGAAUUACAUAACUACAUGCAAACACUAAUAACUUGUAUAUCCAU